rnacentral:rRNA from 1 species
CCUACGGGUGGCAGCAGUGAGGAAUAUUGGUCAAUGGGCGCGAGCCUGAACCAGCCAAGUCGCGUGAGGGAAGACGGCCCUACGGGUUGUAAACCUCUUUUGCCGGGGAGCAACGGGCGCCACGUGUGGCGCCACUGAGAGGACCCGGAGAAAAAGCAGCGGCGAACUCCGUGCCAGCAGCCGCGGUAAUACGGAGGAUGCGAGCGUUAGCCGGAUUUAUGGGGUUGACGGGGGGCGUAGGCGGAGCGUUAAGUCAGUGGUCAACUUGAGGGGCUCACCCCCUUCCCGCCAUUGAAACUGGCGCUCUUGUGUGUACGAGAAGUCUGCGGACUGCGUGGUGUAGCGG